CCUACGGGAGACUGCAGUGAGGAAUAUUGGUCAAUGGCCGUAAGGCUGAACCAGCCAAGUCGCGUGAAGGAAGAAGGAUCUAUGGUUUGUAAACUUCUUUUAUAGGGGAAUAAAGGUAUCCACGUGCGGAUAUUUGCAUGUACCCUAUGAAUAAGCAUGGGCUAACUCCGAGCCAGCGGCCGCGGUAAUACGGAGGGUGCGAGCGUUAUCCGGAUUUCUUGGGUUUAAAGGGUGCGUAGGUUGUUUGUUAAUUAAGCGGUGAAAGUUUAUGGCUCAACCAUAAAAUUGCCGUUGAAACGGGAAGACUUGAGUGUGGUUGAGGUAGGCGGAAUGCGUGGUGUAGCGGUAGAAUGCAUAGAUAGCACGCAGAACACCGAUUGCGAAGGCAGCUUACUAAGCCAUAACUGACACUGAAGCACGAAAGCGUGGGGAGCAAACAGGAUUAGAUACCCGUGUAGUC
rnacentral:rRNA from 1 species